UCCGGGGUGGUGUAAUGGCAGCACGGCUGACUCUGGAUCAGUCAAUCUAGGUUCGAAUCCUAGCCCCGGAGCCA
rnacentral:tRNA from 1 species